AUGCAUUGCAGUUCACAGCACCUGGUCACCUUUCAGACAAACCACCUUACUUACUUCCUAUUCUACAGCUGCGGAUUUCCUAUGCAUAGAAUCCUCCUCUGGGACUCACCAUACUGUGUGUGCAGGCUCCACUGGGCCCUCCAUGUUGCCUUGAGAGAUCUGAGGACUGGUGCGACAAUACUGAUACACCUGUUUCUCCUGCUGCAACUGGUAAAGUCCUUUGUCUCUGACUCAAGAGUCCCACGUCAGCAUCCAUGGAACUGCGACAGGCUUACUUAUCAACUUGUAUGGUUUUUUGUUGGAAGUUAUCCUGCUUCUGCGAUGUCAAAUUUAUUGAAAUUUGAAGCUGAAAGUAUGAUUCUGAGACAAGGACACGUACCCUUGAAAUACUACUUGGUUCGUGCUGGACAUUUAAAGGUCAUGUCAAGUAAUAUAAGCAUGAACAAAAAUACCAACUCUGAAAUUUUAAGUGCGUUUGGAGAAGGCAACUUCAUAGGGGAUUUUUAUGGUAUUCUUGUACAGAGAGUACAACAAUAUCAAGAAACAUGCAACUUCCUAAGGUAGGCAUUUUCUGUAGUUAGUUCAUACAGUUUUAAAAGACUCAUUAACAAAUUCAUGUGAUAGUUUUUACUUGAAGUUCGGAAUAAUCUCCAACAAAUGUUUACUGUGGUGGAAGGCAGCAGGAGGUGUUGAGAAACACAUGUGCCUUGAAGACACACAGACCUCGAUCUGAGUCCCAAGGUUAUCACUUCUUAGUGAUGCACAUUUAGGAAAGUAAAUAUACCUUUUACCCUCAGUUUUUUUUUUUCCAUAUAUAAAAUGGGAAAAUGAGAGUAGAUCAUAAGGAACAAAAUGUGUCUAAGUACAUCAGAUUCAGAAGUCAAGGUAGGGAGAAUCAAGGUGAAUGGGUAUUUUCAAGAGAAGCUUCACCUAUCAAUCUUUAGUAAAGACUAUUGCUCUCACAGUGGCAUAGUCAGAUCACCACCUUAAUAGCAUCUGAGAAACAGGAAAACCACUGUUUGUUUGCAAAAGAUUAACCAUACCAUGCGGAGAAGGCAAUGGCACCCCACUCCUGUACUCUUGCCUGGAAAAUCCCAUGGACGGAGGAGCCUGGUAGGCUGCAGUCCAUGGGGUCACGAAGAGUCAGACACGACUGAGUGAGUUUACUUUCACUUUUCACUUUCAUGCAUUGGAGAAGGAAAUGGCAACCCACUCCAGUGUUCUUGCCUGGAGAAUCCCAGGGACGGGGGAGCCUGGUGGGCUGCUGUCUAUGGGGUCACACAGGGUCUGACACGACUGAAGCGACUUAGCAGCAGCAACCAUACCAUGAUAUGUAAUGUCAAUUCUAAAUGACACUGAAGUGAAGAAUAACUACUGGUAUUAUGGGUACAUGUGAAUUCUGUGUUAUUACUUGAAUGGAAUAGCACUAUUGUAGCUUGGGAGUUUGCUUCAAAAGUGAUAUUUUCCCUUCCAAGGAAAAUAAAAAAAUCCUUUUCAAGGCA
rnacentral:lncRNA from 1 species